rnacentral:rRNA from 1 species
CCUACGGGUGGCAGCAGUGAGGAAUAUUGGUCAAUGGCCGUAAGCCUGAACCAGCCAAGUAGCGUGAGGGAAGACGGACCUAUGGUUCGUAAACCUCUUUUAUGCGGGGAUAAAGUGCUCAACGUGUCCAGCUUCGCAUGUACCUUAUGAAUAAGGACCGGCUAAUUCCGUGCCAGCAGCCGCGGUAAUACGGAGGGUCCGGGCGUUAUCCGGAUUUAUUGGGUUUAAAGGGUGCGUAGGCGGGCUUUUAAGUCAGCGGUGAAAGUUUGUGGCUCAACCAUGGGAGUGCCGGGGGAACUGGGGAGCUUGAGUGUGUGGAAGGCAGGCGGAAUGCGUGGGGUAGCGGUGAAAUACUUAGAUAGCACGAAGAACCCCGAUUGCGAAGGCAGCCUGCCGCGGCGUUACUGACGCUGAAGCACGAAAGCGCGGGGAUCGAACAGGAUUAGAUACCCCAGUAGUC